rnacentral:rRNA from 1 species
UACAGAGACUGCGAGCGUUAUUCGGAUUCACUGGGCGUAAAGGGUGCGCAGGCGGCCAAGUGUGUGAGGCGUGAAAGCCCGGGGCUUAACCCCGGAAUUGCACCUCAAACUACAUGGCUAGAGCAUUGGAGAGGGUAGCGGAAUUCACGGUGUAGCAGUGAAAUGCGUAGAUAUCGUGAGGAACACCAGAGGCGAAGGCGGCUAUCUGGACAGAGUCUGACGCUGAGGCGCGAAAGCUAGGGGAGCAAACAGG